AACGAACGUUAGCGGCGCGCCUAACACAUGCAAGUCGCACGAGAAAGGGCUUCGGCCCCGGUAAAGUGGCGCACGGGUGAGUAACACGUGGGUAAUCUGCCCUCGAGCGGGGGAUAACAUUCCGAAAGGAGUGCUAAUACCGCAUAAGACCACGUCCUCGAAAGAGGAUGGGGUAAAAGCUGGCCUCUAUACAUAAGCUAGCACUUGAGGAUGAGCCCGCGGCGCAUCAGCUAGUUGGUGAGGUAAUGGCUCACCAAGGCGAAGACGCGUAGCUGGUCUGAGAGGAUGAUCAGCCACACUGGAACUGAGACACGGUCCAGACUCCUACGGGAGGCAGCAGUGGGGAAUCUUGCGCAAUGGGCGAAAGCCUGACGCAGCGACGCCGCGUGAGUGAUGAAGGCCUUCGGGUUGUAAAGCUCUGUGGGGAGAGACGAAUAAGUGCAGCCUAAUACGUUGCAUGAUGACGGUAUCUCCUUAGCAAGCACCGGCUAACUCUGUGCCAGCCGCCGCAGUAAAAC
rnacentral:rRNA from 1 species